UGCACCUUUUCCUCGGGACCCCCGCGGCCCCCCGCUCUGCCUCUCGUCCUGUCCUGCCUCUCGUCCUGUCGCCGCCCCGGUUUUCCUCAUCCGGGUUCCCGCCCUCACUGGUCUCCUCGGCCCCCUUGAGCUGCUCCUUGAUCUCCCGCUGCAGUGCAUCGCCUCCGUGACCCGCAGUGGCUCCCACAGGACCGGGUCCCCUUCCCGGGAGGGACAGCUCGCGGCGGGGAACCGCUGUUCCCUGUUCCCCGGGGCCUUGACAGGCGUGUCCUGCGCCCGUCCUCGGCCCCCUGGUCCUUUUUUAUGACGCCGUUUUGGUCGCGAGUGUGUGUGAUGGGCUGGGUCUCCGGCAUCCUGUCGUGUGCCAGCCGGCACCUGCAGGCCCUCGGUGCCCAAGAAGGUGCCCCAACCCAUAGUAAUGACUUGUGCGUCCAAGAUCAAGGGUCUGUGCCAGUGUCCCCGAAACACACAGAAGCACCUAACUGUCCUGUUUGUAAAGGGUGAGGCCAUGGGGUGUGCGCGAUGGUGGAGGGGGACAUCUGCAAUGAAAGGGGAGUCCCAGAACUAGAUCCUGUGAGAUUAGGUGGGGAAAACCUCUUCUGGGCUCUUAAGAGCCCCAGCUGGGCAAACCCUGCCCACUCCACCCGUCCCCCUUUAUCAAUCAAUGUCCAGCAGUGCCCAGAGAAAGCCAGGUAAUGCCAGUGACCUGCCCCAGGACGACCAUGCAGGGUGUGCCCUGGGGCCUAGAGUGGGAGGCGGCCACUCCCAACUCGGGUGGGAGCACACAGCCAGUCCCCACCUGCUCUUUUGGUUUGGCAUACAGCAGGACGGGUUCCUGCGUAGACUCUCAGCGGGAAUUCUUUUCUUGACGCUCAGCUUGGGGCCCUGACAAUGAGAAAAACGCCCUGGCCUUUGGAUGGGCCUCAGAACUGGGGGGUCAAAGAGGUAUUCCCAGGAGGGGAGGGUCUUAAAGCCAAAGGGCAACCUGUAUCUCGCCUUUCUCCCCUUCUCUGGAGCCCCUGCCAAUGCCAGACCUGGCACAGCAACUGGAGUCAUGGGGGCUAUGAUCUCCCCACCUGCCUUGAAGCCUCCCGCCCCCUCAGGCUGCCCUAGGCAUAGAGACCAAACCUGGGCACGCCCUGCUGAGCCUCUUUCACCUGGAGGGAAGCCCCCUGGAAACCACUUCUUCCCUACAAAUGCUACUGCGGUUCCUGGGAGCUUUUCUCCCAGGGGCCUUCCUCCCAGCCCUUCAAGCCUUUGGCGUGUCCUCCUAAGAUGUCACUGGCUCCCCAGGGACUGGUCCGCUGUCAGAGAGAAAGGGAUGGCUGCUUGCUCUCCCAAUCAAGCUUUCCCCACGAAUAGUUUCCAUCACCUAAUAAAAACUGAUGAGCACUUACUAUGUGCCAGGCACCUUCUUCAUAUACUCCUGCCCUCCUGGAAGCAGGCACGCAAAUGGUCUUGUUUUGUCAGGGAGCCCAAAGAAAUGGUUACAUCACCAGAAUUCAUCUCUCUUCCUAAAAGGAUUUUUUUUUUCAGUAAACACCUUUCAAUCCCCAACACAAGCUGCUUCACAGCUCCUGGCUUAGAAGAUAGGAGACUGGUCUGAUGCACUUCUCUCAUUUGCUGCAAUUCCUGAUACCAAAAGCCUGGCUGUUUAGGAGCCAAUAGGGCCCAGCGCGGAGUCCCAGCUCAGAGGUUAGCUCUGCUCCAGAAUUCUGAGAUUUUCAAGUACGAUGAGCUGCCCUCGCCUCUGCUCCAUUCUUGUCUCAACGGGCCAUGGCGGGGGUAAAGAAACUGAAGUGCGAGAAAAACGUCUGAGACGUGCUAUAAACUCAAGGCCUGUGCUUCUGCCACCCUCUGCCCCCACCUGGAAAGCUGAAUUUCUCUUAUCUCUGCCUGUACCACCUCUAUUGCAGAGGGUUUGAUUCAAACACCUCCUUUCCAGGGACGCCCUUCUCCACCGCCCACCCAUGCUUCUUGUCUGUACCAAUCACCCAGCAUAUUGGAGGGACAGUGGAGAUGCCAGAGGCUGGGCCGGUGUCCAUUAGGAGUCACCACGGGGACCUGGACUGGGAUAGCAGCUGAGGAGAGAUAGAAGGAGACAGAUUCCGAGAAAUACAGGUUGGGAUCUUUCAGAAAGAGAAUUGCUUUCCUGUGCCAGAAAAAGUCUCCCUCCAGAAACCAGACACAGAAAAUGUAACCCCCAUAGGGGUCUUGAAUGUGGACGGUAUCUCUCAGCCCACUGUUGGCUGAAAAUCAACUCCAGACCCUUUUGCAGGCCCUGUGUGGUGAUAGAGGUAAGUAUGUAACUCCAAGAGCACAGAUUCCAGAGCCUGCCACCUUCUUCCAGUUCAGAGGUGCUGGCUGAGACUUUACCCCUAGCCCUGGCCCACAGAGUUAAGAACACAAAAGCAAGGCUGGUUGUAGCCACUAAUUUUGGGGUUAUUUGUUAUGCAACAAUGAUACUUUUCCAGUAUAACAAUAUGUAUUAUUCCCUUCGACAGGAAGAUCUGUUGUUGUCCCCAUUUUACAGAUGAGGACGCUGAGGCAUGAGUUGAUCUCCACUGAGCAUUUGGAUAUGGAUGGUGAGGGAGAGAGGUAACAAGGAUGAUAACAAGUUCAGGUUUUGCAGGAACAGAAGGAUGAAUGGGCAGUCCUUUCCUGCGGCAGCAAUCAUGGGGACAGGACAAAGGAGUGGGGGGGCCCACACAGAGUCAGGGGAACAGGGGCUAAGGGAAUGUGAUCUCUAAGGCAUGGGCUGGCCUGAGAGAGACAUGGACAGUGAACCAGGUUUGGGUUGUCACUCAGCUUGGAGACAGGGCUGAGAAAGUAAAAGAAGGGGGCUUGUGGCUGAGCCCCCAACCCAACAAGUACCGUGAGGGUGAAUCUGAGAUGGAGCAUCCCAGAAGUAGUCCUGGGCCAGGAGAGUGUGGGAGCACAGAAGCUGAUGUCAACCAGCACUUCAAGAAGCAGUGGAGUGACAAACAAGCGCUGCUAGUAAAAGGUGAGUCAAGGCCUGGAAACUUCCACUGAAGUUAGAGGCCCCAAAGCAUGACCCUAUCCCGGAUCUGCCGUGAACCAGGGCUACUCUAGACCUUUCUGCUUUAAUGAUGAAUCUCAGCGGUGGCGAUAGUGGGCCCCCAAAUUCAGAUGUUGAAGUUCUUACCCUCAGUACCUCAAGUGUGAGGGUAUUUGGAGACAGGGUCUUUAAUGAGCUGAUUAGGGUAAAAUGAGGUCGUUAGGUAAAAUGGUGUCCUUAUGAUAGGAGGAGAUGACCAGGGAGGACACAGAGAGACGACAGCCAGCGACAAGCAGGAAACCCACCCUCUUAUGGCUUAUGCAGGCCAUCGACCGUGGCCCUUAGGCCUCCAGACUGUGAAAAAGGGUGUUUCUAUUAUUCAAGCCCCCCAGCCUGUGGUACUUUGUUCCGGCAGCCUGAGUGGACUAAUGCAAGCAGACACACACUUUGAAAAGAAUUUAUUGAGGUGAAAGUUACCUAACAUAAAAUUAAACCUUUUAAAGCGAAUGAUUCAGUGGCAUCUAGAACAUUCCCAGAUGUUGUGCAACAGCACCUCUACCUAGUUGCAAACCGUUUCCGUCAUUCCAAAGUAAAACCCAGUAAGCAAUUCCUCUCAGUCCCCUGGGACACACCUUCACAAAGCACUUUCUCUAUGUCAGGCGUUGUUCCAUGCACCUUGCCUAAAUACGCUCAUUUAAUUCUCCCAACAGCCCUAGGUAGGAAGCUGGCAUAAUUAUAAUGCCACUCUCCCCUUUAAUGAAUGAGAAAGUGGGCCCCAGAAAAGCAAGGUAACUUAUUCUAGUUAAACAGCUGGUUAGACAGUUGCAAUCAACAAUGGAUAAUUUUUGCAAAUCCUGGACUGGGGUCUGGCUGGAGCUAGUACUGAGCAUGCAGGGGUAAAUCAAACACCGUCCUCAUCCUGAAGCCACUUCUGAUCUAAUAGGAGAGACACAGGUUGAACAAAUGGGUAUAAAUUAAGUAAUUUCAAGAUUGCAAAAUGCUGAGAAGGGGGCUUAUCUGGGGCUUGAGUGAGGGAAGAGAGGCAUCUGGAGAGCGUACGCUGAGGCCUGGAGAAGAGGAGACGCCAGAGGAGGGAGUUGGCAGGGACCACUCUCCGGCAGCAAGGCUGGUAUAAUCGUGGGGGUCAGAAGUGGGAGGGAAGAACCUAGACAUGCUGAGGUGUGGCCAGUGAGGGGGAGGAUGGGUUCAGACUGGCAGGAGAGGUAGGCAGGGGUCUGUCCCUUUGCAACAAUGUUAGAAUUUCAGAUUUAUUUCUGGGGGUAAUAGGGAGCCAUGGAUAGUUUUAUACCAUCCGUGAGAUUAACUUGACUAGCUCAGGGUAUUCUGAUUUCUAAGUUGGGGAAACACUUUAUGGAGCCUCCCAGUAUAACAAUAGCUUCUGCUAUACCAGUGUAUGGCCCUAAUUGGACUUUGAGCUCCUGGAGGCCAAGGAUACCAUCCUACUCACGUCCCUAUCCUGAAGGCAUCCAGUGCAGGACCUGGAACUGAACUGUGUUUUUAAAAAAAUUAGGUGUAGACAAUGAAAAAAGUGCCCACCUACCUGAGUCUGCUUUCAGGCUCAAAUCCUGGUGCUCCCACUUUUUGUGUCUGUGAGUCUGAACCAGGAACUCCCACCAUUAGCUGCCUUGUCCUUAUUGGUGAAAGGGGUAUAAUAGGGUACCUCACCUCAAGGGCUCAAGUAAGGGAAAAUCGUAUGAAAAGUUCGAAGUGGUGGCUAGUAAAAGCUUAUAGUGCUCCCAACAAAAAGACAGUGAGCCAAGAGGCUACAACCCGGACAUGGAAUGGACGCGGAGCUGAACAUGGAACACGGGAGCGUAGGUUGUUACAAAGAACUUGUGUAAGUUUUUCUGAGGGAGCAAUUACUUUGCUCCAAGGUGAUCGAUUAUAAUAUUAGCCUGUUCUUAAAUGAUAGGGAAUUGAUCUGUGGGUACCUCCUGGCCACCCUGGGAGAGUUGUUUUUGCUUAUUUCCAGAGGCUUAUGCAGGUCAGGUUAGUCUUGCAACAUACACUAGCUGAAGCUGGGUGAGACUAAACUGGCUGUGUCCAGGGACUUUUCAAGGCCAGUCCCUGGUUUUAAAAAACUAUGCGAGGGCUGGGCCCAGCCCCGGCUCGGGCACAGUAAGUUUGUUCUCCCAGCACCCCGGCUCAGAGCGUGGUCAAGCAGAAGGCAAACCGAUGGCCGCUGGAGUCCAGGACAAAGAACCCUAACCCUGUCCGCCUCUCUCCCUGACCCCGUUUCCCCCCUGUCACUUGGGAGCAUGAAUAGCCCCCCAGGUCCUCGAGGAGGUCCCACGAGCGCAGGCACGGGGCGCGCUCCCCACACACAGGAAAGAUGGAAGCUGCCGCCGCUAUUGUCCCUU